rnacentral:rRNA from 1 species
GACGAACGCUGGCGGCGUGCUUAACACAUGCAAGUCGAACGGAAAGGCCCCUUUGGGGGUACUCGAGUGGCGCACGGGUGAGUAACACGUGAGUAACCUGCCCUUGACUUCGGGAUAACUUCAGGAAACUGGGGCUAAUACCGGAUAGGAAUCCUUGCUGCAUGGUGGGGGUUGGAAAGCUUCGGCGGUUUUGGAUGGACUCGCGGCUUAUCAGCUUGUUGGUGGGGUAGUGGCUUACCAAGGCUUUGACGGGUAGCCGGCCUGAGAGGGCGACCGGCCACAUUGGGACUGAGAUACGGCCCAGACUCCUACGGGAGGCAGCAGUGGGGAAUAUUGCACAAUGGGCGGAAGCCUGAUGCAGCAACGCCGCGUGCGGGAUGACGGCCUUCGGGUUGUAAACCGCUUUCAGCAGGGGCGAAGCUUGUGGUGACGGUACCUGCAGAAGAAGCACCGGCUAACUACG